rnacentral:rRNA from 1 species
CCUACGGGUGGCAGCAGUAGGGAAUAUUGCUCAAUGGGGGAAACCCUGAAGCAGCAACGCCGCGUGAGGGAAGAAGGUACAGCGUAUCGUAAACCUCUUUUGUCAGGGAACAAAGGCGGGGACUAGUCCCCGGAUGAGGGUACCUGAAGAAAAAGCAUCGGCUAACUCCGUGCCAGCAGCCGCGGUAAUACGGAGGAUGCGAGCGUUAUCCGGAUUUAUUGGGUUUAAAGGGUGCGCAGGCGGCCUGUUAAGUCAGCGGUAAAAGCCCGGGGCUCAACCCCGGCGAGCCGUUGAAACUGGCGGGCUGGAGUUGGAGAGAAGUACGCGGAAUGCGCGGUGUAGCGGUGAAAUGCUUAGAGAUCAUACAGAACACCGAUUGCGAAGGCAGCUUACCAAGCUACUUCUGACGUUGAGGCACGAAAGCGUGGGGAGCAAACAGGAUUAGAUACCCCAGUAGUC